rnacentral:rRNA from 1 species
AUUGAACGCUGGCGGCAGGCCUAACACAUGCAAGUCGAGCGGAUGAAGGUAGCUUGCUAUCUGAUUCAGCGGCGGACGGGUGAGUAAUGCCUAGGAAUCUGCCUGGUAGUGGGGGACAACGUUUCGAAAGGAACGCUAAUACCGCAUACGUCCUACGGGAGAAAGUGGGGGAUCUUCGGACCUCACGCUAUCAGAUGAGCCUAGGUACGAUUAGCUAGUUGGUGAGGUAAAGGCUCACUAUGGCGACGAUCGUUAACUGGUCUGAGAGGAUGAUCAGUCACACUGGAACUGAGACACGGUCCAGACUCCUACGGGAGGCAGCAGUGGGGAAUAUUGGACAAUGGGCGAAAGCCUGAUCCAGCCAUGCCGCGUGUGUGAAGAAGGUCUUCGGAUUGUAAAGCACUUUAAGUUGGGAGGAAGGGCAGUAAGUUAAUACCUUGCUGUUUUGACGUUACCAACAGAAUAAGCACCGGCUAACUUCGUGCCAGCCGCCGCGGUAAAAC